GACGAACGCUGGCGGCGUGCUUAACACAUUCAAGUCUAACGGUGAAGCGCCUUCCUUUUUGGUGGGUGUUGAUGAGUGGCGAACGGGUGAGUAACACGUGAGUAACCUGCCCCCUUCUUCUGGAUAACCGCAUGAAAGUGUGGCUAAUACGGGAUAUUCUGGGUCUGUCGCAUGAUGGGUCUGGGAAAGAUAUUGUUUCGGUGGGGGAUGUGCUCGCGGCCUAUCAGCUUGUUGGUGGGGUGAUGGCCUACCAAGGCGGUGACGGGUAUCCGGCCUGAGGGGGGGGAAGGUACACACGGGGAAGGGGACAGGGACGAGACACAAAGGGGGGGAAGCGGGGGGGAAAAUUGAAAAAUGGGGGAAAGCUGGAGGAAGGGAGGCGGGGGGAGGAAGGGGGGCUUUGGGUUGUGAACCUCUUUCGCCAGUGAAGCAGGCCUGCCUCGUUUGUGGGUGGGUUGACGGUAGCUGGAUAAGAAGCGCCGGCUAACUACGUG
rnacentral:rRNA from 1 species